rnacentral:rRNA from 1 species
UAUGAACGCUGGCGGCGUGCCUAAUACAUGCAAGUCGAGCGAACAGAUAAGGAGCUUGCUCCUUUGACGUUAGCGGCGGACGGGUGAGUUACACGUGGAUAACCUACCUAUAAGACUGGGAUAACUUCGGGAAACCGGAGCUAAUACCGGAUAACAUAUUGAACCGCAUGGUUCAAUAGUGAAAGGCGGCUUUGCUGUCACUUAUAGAUGGAUCCGCGCCGUAUUAGCUAGUUGGUAAGGUAACGGCUUACCAAGGCAACGAUACGUAGCCGACCUGAGAGGGUGAUCGGCCACACUGGAACUGAGACACGGUCCAGACUCCUACGGGAGGCAGCGGUAGGGAAUCUUCCGCAAUGGGCGAAAGCCUGACGGAGCAACGCCGCGUGAGUGAUGAAGGUCUUCGGAUCGUAAAACUCUGUUAUCAGGGAAGAACAAAUGUGUAAGUAACUGUGCACAUCUUGACGGUACCUGAUCAGAAAGCCACGGCUAACUACGUG